rnacentral:tRNA from 1 species
GGAAUUGUGCCUGAAUGUUUAAGGACCACCUUGAUAGCGUGGCUAAUAGGGGUU